rnacentral:lncRNA from 1 species
UGUUACAUAUAAACUAUAGACACACUGUCACUUUAUGCUACCAUGGGAAUAGGUGGGAGCUGUCAUUUGAAGAUUCAAUUUUUAGUGUCUACAUCUUAUGUAGUCUGAAAAAAUUUAUUAUCCUAAAUGGAAGUUAUCUCACCGGUGUUUGUAUCUCCAGUUGUUGCAUUUGCAUAGAUUAUACCGAUUAUCUUCUUUUGUUUAUUAUCCUAAAUUGGUGUUUUGGAAUUUGAACCAAUGUAUUAUGACUUGAAUUUUUAGUUGUUUGUAAGGCACCUCGCUAGGGGUUCGCAUAAGUCUUUCAUUUUGACUAUAUUUCAUUUUAGGGCCUAUUUGGUUAAUCCAGCAGGAUUGUGCUGGAUUUCCUAUAGGAAUCGGGUCUAU